rnacentral:rRNA from 1 species
GACGAACGCUGGCGGCGUGCUUAACACAUGCCAGUCGAACGGAAAGGCCCUGCUUUUGUGGGGUGCUCGAGUGGCGAACGGGUGAGUAACACGUGAGUAACCUGCCCUUGACUUUGGGAUAACUUCAGGAAACUGGGGCUAAUACCGGAUAGGAGCUCCUGCUGCAUGGGGGGGGUUGGAAAGUUUUGGCGGUUGGGGAUUGACUUGGGGCUUAUCAGCCUGUUGGUGGGGUAGUGGGUUGCCAAGGCUUUGACGGGUAGCCGGCCUGAGAGGGUGACCGGCCACAUUGGGACUGAGAUACGGCCCAGACUCCUACGGGAGGCAGCAGUGGGGAAUAUUGCACAAUGGGCGGAAGCCUGAUGCAGCAACGCCGCGUGCGGGAUGACGGCCUUCGGGCUGUAAACCGCUUUCGCCUGUGACGAAGCGUGAGUGACGGUAAUGGGUAAAGAAGCACCGGCUAACUACGUG